GUGGGUGAGGAAGCAGACAGCCAGACCGGGUACAAAGAUGGAAACUCUGCAGAAGUACAUUCAGAGAAGAGAUGCUGAGAUGCUGUCAGAAUCAGCGCCUCCAGGCAUGAAUCUAACUUAACUUUGUUUUGUUUUUGUAGGGUUUAUAUUAUAAUUCUUGCAUAAACUUAACACAGAUAUUGAACUGAACUGAAUCUUGACUUGAACUGAGCUGAUAGUCUUUUUAGAGAUGCUUUAAAGCAGAGUUUGAAUUUGUCUCAUGUUUAAUGACUUCUGCAGUAUUUUUGCAUACUGUAAAGCUGAUUUGAAACAAUCUGUAUUGUGUUAUGAACUAUAUAAAUAAAUGUGACUUAAUUAACACCAUUCAUCCUGAUAUUAACAGUGGUCGCCUCAAUCUCAGCUUCUGCAGAGGAACCAUCUGAUGAAGAUCUGCUUGCUGCAGCGGCACAUAUAGAUGUUCCAGGUGAGCAUUACCUUCCCUUUAAUGGGAUUACAUUUGUGGUUUAAUUAAAGAAUACCGUGCCUUUGUACAUUGUAUAACCUGUUUUGUUAUUUGGUAUUAUCAGCCUUCAGAUGGAUGGUUUUGGAAACAAUAAGCUGAUGUGACUCAACCAUCCAGUCAGCCAGAACCUCUGCCCUCUGCAACGAGAGCUGCUGCACCAGAACCUCUGCCCACAGAAGAACUGUUGCUGCCUGAAGGCUGGAGACAGACUCUGCCCAAAGAGCAGCAUUUGUGGGUCAGCAAGGCUCUUUUCACCAGAGACAAGUCUGGGAGGCUGGCGCUGACCAAAAACCUGCAUCUCUGGUGGCAUCCUCCUGGGCCCUGUCCUCUGUAUACACAGCCUCCUUCAUCACCUGACAGCUUCUAUCAUAGCCAGCAGCUUCUGGGUCUGAAACUGGCUCAGGAUUACACCAGCCCCAGUGAAUAUACAGGAGAGCUCUUUGGUGUGGAAUAUUUGUAUUCCCAAACCAGCAGAGCGGUGAUGAGGGGUUUGAGGAUCUGUGCCUUGAUGAGCCCAUUGAAUUUUUGGAACUCGAGGGCAAUGACCUGCAGCCCCCUCAGGAACAGACAGUGGCCCUACAACCUCCUGGUCAGCCCUCAUCAUCAGCAGCAGAGUCUUCCUCUCCUGUCUUGGCCACUCAGAGCCAGAUGAAGAGUGUGGGACCAGAUGGCCAAGCUGGUUAUGACCACGUCAUUAGGCUAGCCGACAGUCUGGUUGACCUGCCCCAUCAGGGGUUUGUCACUCAGAGUAAGGUGGAUGAGAUUGUCGUGCUGUGGAACAACCUGUCAGAUCAUGACAAGGGCCCUCUCAUCUAUGUAUCUUGGCUAUAAUCAUAACCAGUCUCGUUACCAAUGUUAUCCACUUGUUUGACCGCUAUCUGUCAAAUAGUCUGAUUAACUGUACUUUCCUCCUUUUUCACUUUGCAGAUGCUUCCUUGGUGAAGGUGGACCAGCUCAGUGGCCCAGCACAAGCCGAGUAGUGGAAGCCAUCUGCCUGGCUCUCUGCUGAAUUUACCCUGCCGGUCAGACCAUCGCCGGGGUCCGGGUAAACCAAUGGGCUGCCAUCCUAAGGGAUUACAGGAGGAUCCGAGACAUAGUCCUGGGCAGCCCCGGAAUCAUGGCUCAGACAAAGUUAAAGGUCUUUAAGCUAAACCAGCUCACUAUCUCCCAGUGGUACGUUCAGUAAUUGUACAGCGUGGCGGCGAAAGAAGCUGGCAGAGGCAGCCGCUGCAGCUCAAGGUUUGAACUCUAAAAAACAACAAAUACCUCAGCAGUUCCUCUGCCAAAAGUGUGGCCAGCCAAAGACUAAAGAAUUUGGCCACAGCCAGUUCCGGGGUGUCCACUUUUGUGCAAAGGCUUCUGGGAAGACUGUGGCACAGUGGAUGGAGGAAGUCAAGAGAG
ensembl:lncRNA